ACAGAGGAUGAAAACGAUGUGUCUGAUAUGCCCAUUACUGGUUGUACUGAGUCUGCUCCAGCCUCCAUUCCCCUGAUUGAAGACCACGACUAUGCAGAAGUCCUUUGAUUGUGGUAGACCGCAUUAAAUAUGAAACUAUGUCACGGGAGAUUGAGGAGCUUAGACGGCAGCUUGAGUCGUAUCAUUUGACGCAGGGAUUUGGACUGCAGUGAUUUGCCACAUCACCUGAGGACAUUCGGUAUUAUACAAGGUAAGAAAUCCUGAAGUUUUCAACUAGUGACCUAUGACCUUAAUAAUAUUACCACAAAAAUGUGCAUUUUAACACAAGGCUGGAGUUGGUUUUCGUUUCUAGCCUCAUCACUUUAAAAAUAUUAAUGUAACUUACCUCUGAUCUGUAUUAAAUUGACCAAUAGAAAGUUGUAAUGUCAUCUGAAAUUUAGCAAUAGCUGCAGAUAAAAAACUAUAUUAACAUCCACCAUUUAAAUGCAGAUUUCCAUCAUAUAAGCAUUUGAUGGCCUUUUGGAAUCUAAUGCAAGAGGCAACAAGCAGGAUGGUGAGGGUCACCAGUGGUCAGAAGAGCCUUUUCACCAGCACAUCCACCGAGAGCCCUAAAUUGUUUCCAAUUGAUGAGCUAUUCUUGUUCCUGAAUAAUCUGGCAACCGGCUGUACACAAAGGGAGCUUUGUCACAAGUUUAACAUCCACAGAGCUACAGUGAGUAGUGUCUCAGCACUUUUUGAAGGCUCCAUCAGUGACAAGGAGAUUUUCCGUCACUCUGGCAUCACCUCCCUCUUGACACCUGAGAUGGAUAUAAUGGUGGACAAAGGGUUUCUGGUAGAUGAACUAGUGCCUGGGAAAGUCCAUCGCCCAGCCUUUUUGUCCAAGCAAGCUCAAAUGUCAGAGUUGGAUGUCCUUAGAACCCAGUCCAUUGCACGUCUGAGGGUCCACGUAGAGAGGCUCAUCAGGAGGGUUAAAGAAAACAAACUUUUUGACACUGUCAUCCCUCUCUCCAUUUCUGGGAGUAUAAACCAAACGUUUACUGUUGCAUGUCUCCUCACAAAUUAUCAAUAGGGACCACUGGUCAAAAAAUGGGUGGUUAAUUAAAAGUUUGAAAUGUGUGUAUUGUAGUGUAUUUAGUGGGAGAAGUAGGCAGUUUUGGGAGAAUACUUUACAAUUGUAUUUAGUUACUGAAUACUUAAUUCUUGCCUUUAAAUGUAUUUUGUAGCACAUUCCAUCACUUUGUCUAGUCAGAAUACUGUAUUCUGAAUACUUUGAAUAUCUUUAGAAUAUUGUUAUUAUUUUAAAUUCAUGUAUUUAGUUACUCUCCAAGAAUUUAAGUAGCAAAUUUUGUUACUUAAGUAAAAUUGAUCAACAGCUAACACACCCCCUUUCCUGGAUAAAGUUAAAUAAUAAAUCACUUGAUGUUUUACUGUUACUCUGCAAAUAAAACUGCCUUACUUUAACCACAUUGUC